UACGGAGGGGGCAAGCGUUGUUCGGAAUUACUGGGCGUAAAGGGCUCGUAGGCGGCCAACUAAGUCCGACGUGAAAUCCCAAGGCUUAACCUUGGAACUGCGUCGGAUACUGGAUGGCUUGAAUUCGGGAGAGGGAUGCAGAAUUCCAGGUGUAGCGGUGAAAUGCGUAGAUAUCUGGAGGAAUACCGGUGGCGAAGGCGGCAUCCUGGACCGACAUUGACGCUGAGGAGCGAAAGCUAGGGGAGCAAACGGG
rnacentral:rRNA from 1 species